rnacentral:rRNA from 1 species
CCUACGGGCGGCAGCAGUGGGGAAUAUUGCACAAUGGGCGCAAGCCUGAUGCAGCCAUGCCGCGUGUGUGAAGAAGGCCUUCGGGUUGUAAAGCACUUUCAGCGGGGAGGAAGGCGGUGAGGUUAAUAACCUCAUCGAUUGACGUUACCCGCAGAAGAAGCACCGGCUAACUCCGUGCCAGCAGCCGCGGUAAUACGGAGGGUGCAAGCGUUAAUCGGAAUUACUGGGCGUAAAGCGCACGCAGGCGGUCUGUCAAGUCGGAUGUGAAAUCCCCGGGCUCAACCUGGGAACUGCAUUCGAAAGUGGCAGGCUAGAGUCUUGUAGAGGGGGGUAGAAUUCCAGGUGUAGCGGUGAAAUGCGUAGAGAUCUGGAGGAAUACCGGUGGCGAAGGCGGCCCCCUGGACAAAGACUGACGCUCAGGUGCGAAAGCGUGGGGAGCAAACAGGAUUAGAUACCCGUGUAGUC